GCCUGACUGGCUCAGCCAGUAGAGCAUGUGACUCUUGAUCUCAGGGUUGUGAGAUCAAGUCCCAUGUUGGUUG
rnacentral:tRNA from 1 species